GAAAUUUGAAAAUCCGCCAAUGGCCCUUGGGCAUUACUGUUUGUGGACUGAAGCAUUCAGUUUCCCAGGUUUCUUAAUAUUUAUUCGCUCCUCCAAUUCUUUGAAGGCCUGUAACCUGGUAUGGUUCUCCUUUGCUUUUAUACUGCAGGUUCGGUUCUUUGUACAAUGAUAGAUGUUGAACCCCCCCUUUUUUUUUCAGGGCUGUCAUCGGCUUCUUAAAAAAGGGUAUGGAGUACACUGGUGGGUUUUUGGCCUCAAAUGCCACCUCCCAUGGCCGGCAAAUCGUUCACAAUGG
rnacentral:sRNA from 1 species